rnacentral:lncRNA from 10 species
AGCCCGUCAAUUUUUAUUUUCAUUGAGAGAAUAAAAGUACAUAAAAAUUUCCCGGGAUGACAACCUUCCAUUCCUGAAAAUUUGAUCUCGUGACUUUUUUUUUUUAUGAAGUUUUUUUUUUUUUUUAACUUUUAUUUUAAGUUCAGAGGUACAUGUGCAGGUUCGUUAGACAGGUAAAUUGUGUGUCGCGGGGGUUUGGUGUGCAGAUUUCAUCACCCCAGUUAAUAAGCCUAGUACUGAUAUGUAGUUUUUUAAUCCUCUCCCUCCUCCCACUCUCCACCCUCAAGUAGGCGUCAGUGUCUGUUGUUCCUUUCAUUAUACAAAGUAUUUUUGAUAUUUUAAAAUUACAUUAAGAAAAAUCUCUAAUACUUCUACCUAGAGAUGAAAACAUCUGAAUAAGUAUUAUGAAAGAGAACCUGAAGUCAUGGUUAGGUUAAUAAGUUCAACUGCUUGUUCAUGUAUUGAGUCUUCACCAGAGGACAUAACAGCCUACUGGAUGGCUGUGGCAGAGACCAGUAAUGCUCCCUGAAUGGCCGCCUUUCCUUCUUCCUGUUGCUAAUAUAACCACCAGAGUUUUAGCUGGUCUGAAUUAUCAACACAGAACACUUUUGGUACCACCUGUGUGGGGAUUUUCCCCAAGACAACAACUAAACAAUCAAUUCAGCAGUGAAUAUCAGCUGGGUGUCCUCUUAAUUUUUCUUUUUUCUUUUCUUUUUUUUUUUUUUUGAGACGGGGUCUCACUCUGUGGCACAGGCUGGAGUGCAGUAGCGCAAUCACAGCUCACUGCAGUCUUGAACUCCUGGGCUCAAGGGAUCCUCCCACCUCUGCCUCCCCAGUAGCUGGGACUACAGGCACAUGCCACCACACUUGGCUAAUUUUUUGCAGAGAUGAGGUCUUGCUAUGUUGGCCAGUCUAGUCUAAACUCCCAGCCUCAAGUGAUCCUCCUGCCUUGGGCUCCCAAAAUGCUGGGAUCAUAAGUGUGAGCCACCCUGCCUGGGCCCUUUAAUUUUACUCAAUUCUGACAUUGUCUACCUGGACAUAGUGUCAGAUCUCACAGGUUGAGGGCUCAGUCCCCAAGACUGUCUCCACUUCAAAUGCCAGUUGCAAGUAUAGGUUGUGACCUGUGUUUCUAAGAAGUUCCCAAGGAUGCUGAUGUUGCUGGUUGGGGAUCACACUUUGAAUACCACUAAUUGAGAGCCAAGCUGAAGUGGGGGUUCCCAUCCCUGCUUAUAAAACUCGACAGAGAUGCCAGACACAGGCAUGAGGAAAUUGUUCAUAUCAAUAACCCCAAAUCUAAAAAUUAAGUACGUAUAUGAAAAAAUGAACUGCAUUUACUGUUUGAGAUAAUGAGAUACAAAAAGAAAAUAAACAUUACAGCGUGACUUCUAGGAAUAAUAAGCCUUUUAACUCAAUAGUCAACAGAGCCAUGUCAACUAUAGCCAGGAAAAAAAAAAAUAGUGUUGUCGCCACUGGCUUUGUUUGUCCUUUACCAUAGCAUAGAUAUAUUAGUCAAGGUUCUCCAGAGAAAAGGAACCAAUAGGAUGUGUGUGUAUGUAGAGAGAAAGAGAUUUAUUUUAAAGAAUUGGCUCAUGCUAUUGUGGAAGCUUGGCCAUCCCAAAAUCUGAUCGU